AGCAGUGUCGCUCAGUGGAAAGAGCCCGGACUUGGGAGUCAGAGGUCGUGGGUUCAAAUCCCGGCUCUGCCA
rnacentral:tRNA from 1 species